rnacentral:rRNA from 1 species
UACUAGCGGUCCAAGUCGCAGCCAUUUUUAUUGGGUCUAAAACAUCCGUAGCUUGCUUAAUAAGUUCUCUGUGAAAUCUUAUCUCUCAAGGGUGAGGCGAGCAAGGAAUACUACUAAGCUAGAGACUGGAAGACGUAAAGAGUAUGAUCAAAGUAGUGGUAAAAUACUUUAAUCUUGAUCAGACUAACAAUAGCGAAGGCACUUUACGAGGACAGUUCUGACAGUAAAGGAUGAAGGCUAGGGGCGCAAAACGGAUUAGAUACCCGCGUA